UAAUACGGAGGGUGCGAGCGUUGUCCGGAAUCACUGGGCGUAAAGGGCGCGUAGGCGGCCUGAUAAGUAGGGGGUGAAAUCCUGCGGCUUAACCGCAGGGCUGCCUUCUAAACUGUCAGGCUCGAGCACAGUAGAGGCAGGUGGAAUUCCCGGUGUAGCGGUGGAAUGCGUAGAGAUCGGGAAGAACAUCAGUGGCGAAGGCGGCCUGCUGGGCUGUUGCUGACGCUGAGGCGCGACAGCGUGGGGAGCAAACAGGAUUAGAUACCCUGGUAGUCCACGCCCUAAACGAUGAUUACUCGAUGUGUGCGAUACACUGCACGCGUCUGAGCGAAAGCAUUAAGUAAUCCACCUGGGGAAUACGGUCGCAAGAUUG
rnacentral:rRNA from 1 species